UACGUAGGUGGCAAGCGUUGUCCGGAUUUACUGGGCGUAAAGAGCGCGCAGGCGGCUGGUCAAGUCCGAUGUGAAAUCUCCCGGCUUAACUGGGAAACUGCAUCGGAAACUGAUCGGCUUGAAGGUGGGAGAGGGUAGUGGAAUUCCCGGUGUAGUGGUGAAAUGCGUAGAGAUUGGGAAGAACACCAGUGGCGAAGGCGGCUAUCUGGACGGUUUCUGACACUAAGACUCGAAAGCGUGGGGAGCAAACAGG
rnacentral:rRNA from 1 species